rnacentral:rRNA from 1 species
AACGAACGCUGGCGGCAUGCCUAACACAUGCAAGUCGAACGAGACCUUCGGGUCUAGUGGCGCACUGGUGCGUAACGCGUGGGAACCUGCCCUUAGGUUCGGAAUAACUCCCCGAAAGGGGUGCUAAUACCGGAUAAUGUCUCCGGACCAAAGAUUUAUCGCCUUUGGAUGGGCCCGCGUUGUAUUAGCUAGUUGGUAGGGUAAAAGCCUACCAAGGCGACGAUCCAUAGCUGGUCUGUGAGGAUGAUCAGCCACACUGGGACUGAGACACGGCCCAGACUCCUACGGGAGGCAGCAGUGGGGAAUAUUGGACAAUGGGCGAAAGCCUGAUCCAGCAAGGCCGGGAAAGUGAUGAAGGCCUUAGGGUUGUAAAGCUCUUUUACCCGGGAUGAUAAUGACAGUACCGGGAGAAUAAGCUCCGGCUAACUCCGUG